rnacentral:rRNA from 1 species
UACGGGGGAGCAAGCGUUGUUCGGAUUUACUGGGCGUAAAGGGCGCGUAGGCGGUCGUGACAAGUCACUUGUGAAAUCUCCGGGCUUAACUCGGAACGGUCAAGUGAUACUGUCGGACUAGAGUACAGAAGGGGCAACUGGAAUUCUCGGUGUAGCGGUGAAAUGCGUAGAUAUCGAGAGGAACACCUGCGGCGAAGGCGGGUUGCUGGGCUGAUACUGACGCUGAGGCGCGAAAAGCCAGGGGAGCGAACGGG